GAUCCUGGCUUAGAACGAACGCUGGCGGCAGGCCUAACACAUGCAAGUCGAGCGAGAUCUUCGGAUCUAGCGGCGGACGGGUGAGUAACGCGUGGGAACGUGCCCUUUGCUACGGAAUAGCCCCGGGAAACUGGGAGUAAUACCGUAUGUGCCCUACGGGGGAAAGAUUUAUCGGCAAAGGAUCGGCCCGCGUUGGAUUAGGUAGUUGGUGGGGUAAUGGCCUACCAAGCCGACGAUCCAUAGCUGGUUUGAGAGGAUGAUCAGCCACACUGGGACUGAGACACGGCCCAGACUCCUACGGGAGGCAGCAGUGGGGAAUCUUAGACAAUGGGGGAAACCCUGAUCUAAGCCAUGCCGCGUGAGCGAUGAAGGCCUUAGGGUUGUAAAGCUCUUUCAGCUGGGAAGAUAAUGACGGUACCAGCAGAAGAAGCCCCGGCUAACUCCGUGCCAGCAGCGGC
rnacentral:rRNA from 1 species